ACAUAUUUCACUGUUAUUGCAUUUGGUAUGGGAAAAAAGCGUCAUUAUUGUCUUUCAUUUUGAAUUGGUGACGCUGGUGUAGAUCUUUCAAAUUGUAUGGGUAGACACUUAUUAUUAUUUAUUUGCAUGCCUGUGAAAAUGCCAGUGACAAUUUGCGGCGAUAUUCAUGGGCAAUUUCAUGACCUUGCAGAGCUUUUUUUAUUGGAGCGUUUUAUUGCUUGCAAUUUUGGAUUACUUCAAAUUAUGAAUGAAAAGGCUUUUUUUUAUUUUUUACAACAUUGUUGAGAGUGGGUUUUGCUUAAACUUUCGAGUUCUGAGUUUAUAUCAUGACAUUUGAUAUGGUUUCAUUUAUUUUGUGAAAUUAGAUACUUUUCUGUGCACAUUUUUCCUUAAAGUUAAGUCAAUUGAUUGCUCAUUUGGCUGUAAAUUUGACAUUAGUGAAUUCUGGACUUCAAUUUCAAUGAUUACCCAGUAUUAAUUGGUUAUUGAUUAACAUUUGUUUUCUGGAAUAUGGACUCUGAACAGUUCAAAGGUUUUGGGAAAGGAGUGCUUUUUAAUCAGGCCAAUUGGGUCCUCCUGGCAAUACAAUGUCGAAAUUUUUUAAAUCCGAGUCCGAGAGAUUUGGCAAGAUGCAAAUAAGUUGUGAUUGGUAAGUCAACGAUGCUGACCGAAGAUUUACGGAGUUGAGUACCAGGAUGAGGAGACUAGGAAUGAGUUUUGGCUCUUAAUAAUUGCUGCUCUGUUGCUUGGAAUUAUCAGUGCUUUCAGUUCGACUUCAACAAUACUAUAUGUGCAUCUUGAAGUUAUAGGAAUAUAAUUUACAUUUCAGAAUUUAAUUUAUUUUAAGUGUUCUGCUAAAACACAAACUUUGAGACUUGGUGGUGGCUUGCACUUUGCAGCCACAACUAAGACCAAGGGGUUGAUUUUUGUUUUCAUUUCCUUACCAAUUGGAAUAAAAGUGCAACCCACCAGAUAAGUAGUUAAUUAGUUAUA